GAUGAACGCUGGCGGCGUGCCUAAUACAUGCCAGUCGAGCGAACGGACGAGAAGCUUGCUUCUCUGAUGUUAGCGGCGGACGGGUGAGUAACACGUGGAUAACCUACCUAUAAGACUGGGAUAACUUCGGGAAACCGGAGCUAAUACCGGAUAAUAUUUUGAACCGCAUGGUUCAAAAGUGAAAGACGGUCUUGCUGUCACUUAUAGAUGGAUCCGCGCUGCAUUAGCUAGUUGGUAAGGUAACGGCUUACCAAGGCAACGAUGCAUAGCCGACCUGAGAGGGUGAUCGGCCACACUGGAACUGAGACACGGUCCAGACUCCUACGGGAGGCAGCAGUAGGGAAUCUUCCGCAAUGGGCGAAAGCCUGACGGAGCAACGCCGCGUGAGUGAUGAAGGUAUUCGGAUCGUAAAACUCUGUUAUUAGGGAAGAACAUAUGUGUAAGUAACUGUGCACAUCUUGACGGUACCUAAUCAGAAAGCCACGGCUAACUACGUG
rnacentral:rRNA from 1 species